rnacentral:rRNA from 1 species
GAUGAACGCUAGCGGCAGGCCUAAUACAAGCAAGCUGAACGGUAAAUAUUGUAGCAAUACGAUAUGAGAGUAGCGUAAGGGUGCGUAACACGUAUGCAAUCUGCCCGCAACAGGAGGAUAGCUCCCCGAAAGGGGAAUUAAUACUCCAUAAUAUCACGAGAGGGCAUCUGAUUGUGAUUAAACUCCAAGGGGUUGCGGAUGAGCAUGCGUCUGAUUAGUUAGUUGGUGAGGUAACGGCUCACCAAGACGAUGAUCAGUAGGGGAACUGAGAGGUUGAUCCCCCACACUGGCACUGAGAUACGGGCCAGACUCCUACGGGAGGCAGCAGUAGGGAAUAUUGGUCAAUGGGUGAAAGCCUGAACCAGCCAUGCCGCGUGCAGGAAGACGGCCUUCUGGGUUGUAAACUGCUUUUGCCAGGGGAUAAAAUACCCAUGCGUGGGGAAUUGAAGGUACCUGGUGAAUAAGCCACGGCUAACUACGUGCCAGCAGCCGCGGUAAAAC